rnacentral:RNase_P_RNA from 1 species
GGAGUCGGCCAGGCAGUCGCGUCAUCCGGACCACUUCGGUGGGAUCGGGUGCCGAGGAAAGUCCGGGCUCCACAGGGCACGGUGCCAGGUAACUCCUGGGCGGCGCGAGCCGACGGAAAGUGCAACAGAGAGUAGACCGCCGAACGGUCAUGCCGUUGAGGGGCGCUUGUCGGACGAAAGUCCGACCAAGUGCCUCCGUACCGCCGAAAGGCGGAGGCAGGACGCGUGGCAAGGGUGAAACGGUGCGGUAAGAGCGCACCGCGAGUCUGGCAACAGACCGGCAUGGCAAACCCCACCGGGAGCAAGACCAAAUAGGGAGACAAUGCCGCGGCCCGCGGUGUCUCCGGGUAGGUUGCUCGAGCGUAUCGGUGACGAUGCGCCUAGAGGAAUGACUGUCCACGACAGAACCCGGCUUAUCGGCCGGCUCCGCCA